GCCGGGAUGGCGGAAUGGUAUACGCGGUAGUCUCAAAAACUACUGGCCGUAAAGGCUGUGUGGGUUCGAGUCCCUCUCCCGGUA
rnacentral:tRNA from 1 species